UACGUAGGGGCCAAGCGUUACCCGGAUUUACUGGGCGUAAAGGGCGUGUAGGUGGCUGCGUAAGUUUGCUGUGAAAUCUUUCGGCUCAACCGGGAGAGGUCAGCGAAUACUGCGCGGCUUGAGGGCAGCAGAGGAAGGUGGAAUUCCCGGUGUAGCGGUGAAAUGCGUAGAUAUCUGGAGGAACACCGGUGGCGAAGGCGGCGUUCUGGACUGCAUCUGACACUGAAAGACGAAAGCCAGGGGAGCAAACGGG
rnacentral:rRNA from 1 species